rnacentral:rRNA from 1 species
GACGAACGCUGGCGGCGUGCCUAAUACAUGCAAGUAGGACGCUGAAGGAGGAGCUUGCUUCUCUGGAUGAGUUGCGAACGGGUGAGUAACGCGUAGGUAACCUGCCUGGUAGCGGGGGAUAACUAUUGGAAACGAUAGCUAAUACCGCAUAAUAGUAGAUGUUGCAUGACAUUUGCUUAAAAGGUGCAAUUGCAUCACUACCAGAUGGACCUGCGUUGUAUUAGCUAGUUGGUGGGGUAACGGCUCACCAAGGCGACGAUACAUAGCCGACCUGAGAGGGUGAUCGGCCACACUGGGACUGAGACACGGCCCAGACUCCUACGGGAGGCAGCAGUAGGGAAUCUUCGGCAAUGGACGGAAGUCUGACCGAGCAACGCCGCGUGAGUGAAGAAGGUUGUCGGAUCGUAAAGCUCUGUUGUAAGAGAAGAACGAGUGUGAGAGUGGAAAGUUCACACUGUGACGGUAUCUUACCAGAAAGGGACGGCUAACUACGUG